rnacentral:rRNA from 1 species
UACGUAGGGUGCGAGCGUUAAUCGGAAUUACUGGGCGUAAAGCGUGCGCAGGCGGUUUUGCAAGCCUGAUGUGAAAUCCCCGGGCUCAACCUGGGAAUGGCAUUCGGGACUGCAAGGCUGGAGUGCGGCAGAGGAGACUGGAAUUCCUGGUGUAGCAGUGAAAUGCGUAGAUAUCAGGAGGAAUACCCAGGGGGAAACCAGUCGACUGGGCAGCACCUGACGCUGAGGUGCGAGAGCGUGGGGAGCGAACCGG